UUGAACGCUGGCGGCAUGCCUUACACAUGCAAGUCGAACGGUAACGCGGGGCAACCUGGCGACGAGUGGCGAACGGGUGAGUAAUACAUCGGAACGUGCCCAGUAGUGGGGGAUAGCCCGGCGAAAGCCGGAUUAAUACCGCAUACGACCUACGGGUGAAAGCGGGGGACCGCAAGGCCUCGCGCUAUUGGAGCGGCCGAUGUCAGAUUAGGUUGUUGGUGGGGUAAAAGCCUACCAAGCCGACGAUCUGUAGCUGGUCUGAGAGGACGACCAGCCACACUGGGACUGAGACACGGCCCAGACUCCUACGGGAGGCAGCAGUGGGGAAUUUUGGACAAUGGGGGCAACCCUGAUCCAGCCAUGCCGCGCGCGGGAAGAAGGCCUUCGGGCUGUAAACCGCUUUUGUCGGGGAAGAAACGCGCUGCACUAAUACUGCGGCGUAAUGACGGUACCCGAAGAAUAAGCACCGGCUAACUACGUGCCGGCAGCCGCGGUAAUACGUAGGGUGCAAGCGUUAAUCGGAAUUACUGGGCGUAAAGCGUGCGCAGGCGGCUUUGCAAGACAGAUGUGAAAUCCCCGGGCUUAACCUGGGAACUGCAUUUGUGACUGCAUCGCUCGAGUACGGCAGAGGGGGAUGGAAUUCCGCGUGUAGCAGUGAAAUGCGUAGAUAUGCGGAGGAACACCGAUGGCGAAGGCAAUCCCCUGGGCCUGUACUGACGCUCAUGCACGAAAGCGUGGGGAGCAAACAGGAUUAGAUACCCUGUAGUCCACGCCCUAAACGAUGUCAACUGGUUGUUGGACGGCUUGCUGUUCAGUAACGAAGCUAACGCGUGAAGUUGACCGCCUGGGGAGUACGGCCGCAAGGUUGAAACUCAAAGGAAUUGACGGGGACCCGCACAAGCGGUGGAUGAUGUGGUUUAAUUCGAUGCAACGCGAAAAACCUUACCUACCCUUGACAUGCCAGGAACUUGCCAGAGAUGGCUUGGUGCUCGAAGGAGAACCUGGACACAGGUGCUGCAUGGCCGUCGUCAGCUCGUGUCGUGAGAUGUUGGGUUAAGUCCCGCAACGAGCGCAACCCUUAUCAUUAGUUGCUACGCAAGGGCACUCUAAUGAGACUGCCGGUGACAAACCGGAGGAAGGUGGGGAUGACGUCAGGUCAUCAUGGCCCUUACGGGUAGGGCUACACACGUCAUACAAUGGCCGGUACAGAGGGCUGCCAACCCACGAGGGGGAGCUAAUCCCAGAAAACCGGUCGUAGUCCGGAUCGCAGUCUGCAACUCGACUGCGUGAAGUCGGAAUCGCUAGUAAUCGCGGAUCAGCUUGCCGCGGUGAAUACGUUCCCGGGUCUUGUACACACCGCCCGUCACACCAUGGGAGCGGGUUCUGCCAGAAGUAGUUAGCCUAACCGCGAGGGGGGCGAUUACCACGGCAGGGUUCGUGACUGGGGUG
rnacentral:rRNA from 1 species